GUUGAACGCUGGCGGCGUGCCUAAUACAUGCAAGUCGAGCGAAGCGGGGACGGGUGAGUAACCCGUGUAUAAACUCCCAGAAGACUGGGAUAACUUCGGGAAACCUGAGCCAAACCCGAUUCUUAUAGAUGGUUCCUCGCGGUAUUAGUUAGUGGGUGAGGUAACGGCUUACAAAGGCAACGAUGCAUAGCAGGUCUGAGAGGGUGAUCGGCCACACUGGAACUGAGACACGGUCCAGACUCCUACGGGAGGCAGCAGUAGGGAAUCUGGCGGAAUGGGCGAAAGCCUGACGGAGCAACGCCGCGUGAGUGAAGAAGGUCUUCGGAUCGUAAAACUCUUUUAUUAGGGAAGCGGUACCUACGCAGAAAGCCACGGCUAACUACGUGCCAGCAGCCGCGGUAAUAC
rnacentral:rRNA from 1 species